rnacentral:tRNA from 1 species
UCUCUCGUAGCUUAGUGGUCAGAGCAUUAGUGCAUAAAGCCAAAGGUCCCGGGUUCGAUUCCGGGCGGGGGUG